CGGCCCUCAUCGCCGCCCUCAACCAGAUGUCGCUGCAGCCUCCCUCCACACCGGGCGGCGAAUGGAUCUUCGACAGCGGCGCCUCCGCCCAUAUGGGUUCUGGCUCUGGAUCUGGCCACCAAGACGGUUCUUCUCCGAUGUGACUCCACCGGUGACUUGUACCCAUUCGUCCCGCCUCGCCACUGCCUCACCACCGUCACCGCAGAUCUGUGGCAUCAGCGCCUCGGCCAUCCGGGCGCCGCCGUCUUCGCCAAGGCUUCCUCCUACUACGACUUCAAUUUCAAUAAAAGCUCCACGACCCACUGCGCUGCGUGUCGUCUGGGCAAGCAUACUAGGCUCCCCUUUAGUUCUUCUUCUUCUCAAACACAAUUUCCUUUCCAACUUGUUCAUUGUGAUUUAUGGACCAGCCCUGUACUCAGUGUAUCUGGCUAUCAAUAUUACUUAGUGAUGCUUGAUGACUA